rnacentral:rRNA from 1 species
AUUGAACGCUGGCGGCAUGCUUUACACAUGCAAGUCGAACGGUAACAGGCCGCAAGGUGCUGACGAGUGGCGAACGGGUGAGUAAUGCAUCGGAACGUGCCCAGUCGUGGGGGAUAACUACUCGAAAGAGUAGCUAAUACCGCAUACGAUCUAUGGAUGAAAGCGGGGGACCGUAAGGCCUCGCGCGAUUGGAGCGGCCGAUGUCAGAUUAGGUAGUUGGUGGGGUAAAGGCUCACCAAGCCAACGAUCUGGAGCUGGUCUGAGAGGACGACCAGCCACACUGGGACUGAGACACGGCCAAGACUCCUACGGGAGGCAGCAGUGGGGAAUGUUGGACAAUGGGCGCAAGCCUGAUCCAGCAAUGCCGCGUGCAGGAAGAAGGCCUUCGGGUUGUAAACUGCUUUUGUACGGAACGAAACGGCUCUGGUUAAUACCCGGGGCUAAUGACGGUACCGUAAGAAUAAGCACCGGCUAACUACGUG